GCAGCGGCGAGUGCGGACAGGAGGCGGCGGCAACAGCGGGGACUAGGCAGCAGAGGCUAUGCAUCCAAGUGCGGCUGGGCGGUCGCGGCACCCCUGAGGCCCGGGCGGGGUUCCGGGUACACGGCGCGCGGGGACAUUUGUUCUGGAGUGCGAGGGAGAGGCGUAGUGGCCCGGGAGGCGUCGACAGAGCUGCGCACAGAGCUGAGGAGGGGGCUUCGGAGCAGGGCUGGGGAGGGGGGCGGCUGGCGCUGGCAGCCCCCGGGUGGGGGCGGGGUGGGCGCCGGAGGCGCGAUGCUGGGCGUCGUGGAGCUGCUGUUGUUGGGGACUGCGUGGCUGGCAGGCCCAGCCCGCGGGCAGAAUGAGACAGAACCUAUCGUACUGGAGGGCAAGUGCCUGGUGGUGUGUGACUCCAACCCCACGUCUGACCCUACGGGUACUGCUCUGGGCAUCUCUGUGCGCUCGGGCAGCGCCAAGGUGGCUUUCUCUGCCAUCAGGAGUACCAACCAUGAGCCGUCCGAGAUGAGUAAUCGCACCAUGAUCAUCUACUUCGACCAGGUACUAGUGAACAUCGGGAACAACUUUGACUCAGAACGCAGCACUUUCAUCGCCCCGCGCAAAGGCAUCUACAGUUUUAACUUCCACGUGGUGAAAGUCUACAACAGACAGACCAUCCAGGUGAGCCUCAUGUUGAACGGGUGGCCGGUGGAUUUCAGCCUUCGCCGGUGAUCAAGACGUGACACGCGAGGCCGCUAGCAACGGCGUCCCUCAUUCAGAUGGAGAAAGGCGACCGAGCAUACCUCAAGCUGGAGCGGGGGAACUUGAUGGGGGGCUGGAAAGUACUCAACCUUUUCUGAUUCCUCGUGUUUCCCCUCUGA